rnacentral:rRNA from 1 species
GAUGAACGCUGGCGGCGUGCCUAAUACAUGCAAGUCGAGCGAACAGAUGAGGAGCUUGCUCCUCUGACGUUAGCGGCGGACGGGUGAGUAACACGUGGAUAACCUACCUAUAAGACUGGGAUAACUUCGGGAAACGGAGCUAAUACCGGAUAAUAUAUUGAACCGCAUGGUUCAAUAGUGAAAGACGGUUUUGCUGUCACUUAUAGAUGGAUCCGCGCCGCAUUAGCUAGUUGGUAAGGUAACGGCUUACCAAGGCAACGAUGCGUAGCCGACCUGAGAGGGUGAUCGGCCACACUGGAACUGAGACACGGUCCAGACUCCUACGGGAGGCAGCAGUAGGGAAUCUUCCGCAAUGGGCGAAAGCCUGACGGAGCAACGCCGCGUGAGUGAUGAAGGUCUUCGGAUCGUAAAACUCUGUUAUUAGGGAAGAACAAAUGUGUAAGUAACUAUGCACGUCUUGACGGUACCUAAUCAGAAAGCCACGGCUAACUACGUG